rnacentral:rRNA from 1 species
GACGAACGCUGGCGGCGUGCCUAACACAUGCAAGUCGAGCGGGGACAGUUGGAAGCUUGCUUUUGACUGUUUUAGCGGCGGACGGGUGAGUAACGCGUGAGCAACCUUUCCCAGACAGGGGAAUAACACACCGAAAGGUGUACUAAUACCGCAUAAGACCACGGGAUCACAUGGUUCUGAGGUAAAAGAUUUAUCGGUUUGGGGUGGGCUCGCGUCCGAUUAGGUAGUUGGUGAGGUAACGGCCCACCAAGCCGACGAUCGGUAGCCGACCUGAGAGGGUGAUCGGCCACAUCGGGACUGAGACACGGCCCAAACUCCUACGGGAGGCA